GAACGCUGGCGGCGUGCCUAACACAUGCAAGUUGAGCGAACCCUUCGGGGUGAGCGGCGGACGGGUGAGUAACGCGUGGGUAACCUGCCCUGUACACACGGAUAACAUACCGAAAGGUAUGCUAAUACGGGAUAACAUAUGAGAGUCGCAUGGCUUUUGUAUCAAAGCUCCGGCGGUACAGGAUGGACCCGCGUCUGAUUAGCUAGUUGGUAAGGUAACGGCUUACCAAGGCAACGAUCAGUAGCCGACCUGAGAGGGUGAUCGGCCACAUUGGAACUGAGACACGGUCCAAACUCCUACGGGAGGCAGCAGUGGGGAAUAUUGCACAAUGGGCGAAAGCCUGAUGCAGCAACGCCGCGUGAGCGAUGAAGGCCUUCGGGUCGUAAAGCUCUGUCCUCAAGGAAGAUAAUGACGGUACUUGAGGAGGAAGCCCCGGCUAACUGCGUGCCAGCAGCCGCGGUAAUACGUAGGGGGCUAGCGUUAUCCGGAAUUACUGGGCGUAAAGGGUGCGUAGGCGGUCUUUCAAGCCAGAAGUGAAAGGCUACGGCUCAACCGUAGUAAGCUUUUGGAACUGUAGGACUUGAGUGCAGGAGAGGAGAGUGGAAUUCCUAGUGUAGCGGUGAAAUGCGUAGAUAUUAGGAGGAACACCAGUAGCGAAGGCGGCUCUCUGGACUGUAACUGACGCUGAGGCACGAAAGCGUGGGGAGCAAACAGGAUUAGAUACCCUGGUAGUCCACGCCGUAAACGAUGAGUACUAGGUGUCGGGGGUUACCCCCCUCGGUGCCGCAGCUAACGCAUUAAGUACUCCGCCUGGGAAGUACGCUCGCAAGAGUGAAACUCAAAGGAAUUGACGGGGACCCGCACAAGUAGCGGAGCAUGUGGUUUAAUUCGAAGCAACGCGAAGAACCUUACCUAAGCUUGACAUCCCAUUGACCUCUCCCUAAUCGGAGAUUUCCCUUCGGGGACAAUGGUGACAGGUGGUGCAUGGUUGUCGUCAGCUCGUGUCGUGAGAUGUUGGGUUAAGUCCCGCAACGAGCGCAACCCUUGCCUUUAGUUGCCAGCAUUAAGUUGGGCACUCUAGAGGGACUGCCGAGGAUAACUCGGAGGAAGGUGGGGAUGACGUCAAAUCAUCAUGCCCCUUAUGCUUAGGGCUACACACGUGCUACAAUGGGUGGUACAGAGGGUUGCCAAGCCGUGAGGUGGAGCUAAUCCCUUAAAGCCAUUCUCAGUUCGGAUUGUAGGCUGAAACUCGCCUACAUGAAGCUGGAGUUACUAGUAAUCGCAGAUCAGAAUGCUGCGGUGAAUGCGUUCCCGGGUCUUGUACACACCGCCCGUCACACCAUGGGAGUUGGGGGCGCCCGAAGCCGGUUAGCUAACCUUUUAGGAAGCGGCCGUCGAAGGUGAAACCAAUGACUGGGGUGAA
rnacentral:rRNA from 1 species